rnacentral:rRNA from 1 species
UACGUAGGGUGCAAGCGUUAAUCGGAAUUACUGGGCGUAAAGCGUGCGCAGGCGGUUAUGUAAGACAGGGGUGAAAUCCCCGGGCUUAACCUGGGAACUGCAUUUGUGACUGCAUAGCUAGAGUACGGUAGAGGGGGAUGGAAUUCCCGGUGUAGUGGUGAAAUGCGUAGAUAUCGGGAGGAACACCAGUGGCGAAGGCGGCUUCCUGGCCUGUUCUUGACGCUGAGGCGCGAAAGCUAGGGGAGCAAACGGG